rnacentral:lncRNA from 1 species
UAUUCUUAGUUCUAUAGAUACUGUUCAUGUAUUCUUACAGGCACUAUUACUACGAUAUUUUGAAUUACACAGAACUUUUUGAUAUUGACAUUUGCAUUUAUCAGUGUUACAAUAACAUAUGUAGUGUCAAGAUAGUGGCACAUGAUGAAAUCAUGUUAGACCCAGAAGAUGCUUUCCAUGAUGUACUACUACAAACAUACACCCUGAUCUGUUUCAGAACAGUCUGUGGUCGUUUCAAAGUGCUCAGAGCAUGUAUUGGUUUUUACAGAUUUGUCCACAAUGCGUUGUGGUUGCCUCAUGUUGGCCAUAAAGC